rnacentral:lncRNA from 1 species
GUUCACUUCCUGUGGAUCAUGAUGUAAGAACUCUCAGCUCCUUCUCCAGCUCCCUGUCUGCCUUCAUGCUGCCAUGCUUCUUGCCAUGAUGAUGAGACUAAACCUCUGAACUAUGGUAGAGCUAACACCCUUCACCAUAAGAGCUUCUCUUCACAGCAAAUGGAGACCGUCACAGAAAACUGCAAGUGGACAUAAUGCAGAAAGCCCUGAAUCAUGAGGAGCCCAGCCCCAGUGGAUACACUCACAUGCCAGCUCUGCUUUUGUGGCUCAGGGGACAACGUCUCUGAAGAGGGGUCAGAAAAGAUCCAGAAACUGGAAGCAGCCUACAUGCCCCUCACCUGAAGAAUGGAAGGAAAAAAUGUGGUACAUUUACACAAUGGAAUACUACUCAGGAGAAAAUAAAUGGAAUCUUGAAAUUCUCAGGCAAAUGGAUGGAACUAGAAGAAACCAUUCUGAGUGAGGUAACCCAGUAGCAAAAAGACAAACAUGAGAAAUCAGGCACUAGUGAAAUGUCUGGAGAUCUACAAAGAUGACACCAGCUAAUAAUCUAAGCAACGAGGAGAGUCUACCUUAAAUUCCCUCCCCUGAUAAUGAGAUUGAUGACUGACUUAUAUGCCACCUGAUAGCUCUCAUCCAGCAGCUGGUGGAAGUAGAAGCAGACACCCACAACUAAUCACUGAACUGAACUGGAAUCCAGAUGCAGAGAAGGACAAGUGAAGAGCAAAGGGUUCCAGACCAGGCUGGUGAAACCCACAGAAACAGCAGACCUGAACAUCGGGGAACUCUUGCUCCCCAGACUGACAGCUGGGAUACCAGCAUGGGACUGAUCCAGACCCCAGGAACAUGGGUUUCAGUGAGGAAACCUUGGAAAUCUAUGGGACCUCCUAUAGUAGUUCAGUACUUAUCCCUAGCAUAGGUGGAGAAUUUGGGAGCCCAUUCCAAAUAGAGGAAUACUCACUGAGCCAAGACACAAGGGGGUGGGCCUAGCCUUAUCCCAAGAGAUACAAUAGACUCUGAUGAGACUCUAAGGAAGGCCUCACCAUCCAUGGGACGCAGAAAGGAUAUGUGAUAGAUAGGGUUUUAGUUGGG